UACGUAGGGUGCGAGCGUUAAUCGGAAUUACUGGGCGUAAAGCGUGCGCAGGCGGUUCGUUGUGUCUGAUGUGAAAUCCCCGGGCUUAACCUGGGAAUUGCAUUUGUGACUGCACGGCUAGAGUGUGUCAGAGGGGGGUAGAAUUCCACGUGUAGCAGUGAAAUGCGUAGAUAUGUGGAGGAAUACCGAUGGCGAAGGCAGCCCCCUGGGAUAACACUGACGCUCAUGCACGAAAGCGUGGGGAGCAAACAGG
rnacentral:rRNA from 1 species